rnacentral:rRNA from 1 species
GUGUACGAUCAUACUAGCACUAAUGCAUCGUAUCCCAUUGGAACUCCGAAGUUAAGCGUGCUUGGACGGUGUGUAAUAGUUUUAUACAUA